AUACGGAGGAUCCGACCGUUAUCCGGAUUUAUUGGGUUUAAAGGGUGCGCAGGCGGCCAUUUAAGUCAGCGGUUAAAUCGUGGGGCUCAACCCCAUUCUGCCGUUGAUACUGGGUGGCUUGAUUGCGGUCGAGGUUGGCGGAAUUCGUUGUGUAGCGGUGAAAUGCAUAGAUAUGACGAAGAACACCGAUUGCGUAGGCAGCUGACCAGACCGCAAAUGACGCUCAUGCACGAAAGUGCGGGGAUCGAACAGGAUUAGAUACCCUGGUAGUCCGCACAGUAAACGAUGAAUACUUGUUUUCGGCGAUAUAAUGUCGGAGGCAAAGCGAAAGCGAUAAGUAUUCCACCUGGGGAGUACGCCGGCAACGGUGAAACUUAAAGGAAUGGACGGGG
rnacentral:rRNA from 1 species